rnacentral:lncRNA from 13 species
AUGUCUAAACUCAGGCAGAUUGGAUCAUACCUGGCUACGAUCUAUACUCUUACAGAAUCAUCAUGGAUGAUGGAACUGUCCACAAGACUGAGAAAAUCCCCAGGCUCCAAUGGCAGAGGUGCACCAGAGUGGCUGAGAGGCAGAGUGGAGCAGCAGAAAAGGAGAGAAGAGAAGAAGCAGCCAGACAUCAGAGAGAAGCAGCUUGACUUCAGAGGGAAGUUUGACAGUGGGACUUUGGAGAAGAGUUCAGCUGAGGAUGGCCAACUCUGCGGUAAGUUCACCUUCCCACUUCAUCCCCUUCCCACUCCCCAUCCUAUUAAGAUCCACUUCUACCGCUCAGUAAUAUCCUUUACAUUUGCCACCUCUCAAUUUGUUCAUGCAGCCUGAUUCUUCCUGAACACCAGACAAGAACUCGAGUACCAAGAGGGUGGGUGCAAAAGACUGUCACCCUGAUGCUCCACUAAGCUGUUAAACACUUAAACCAUCCAUGGGUGACAAAGCUAAAAGAAAACACUGUAACACACAGCCUCUGGGGCUUCAGGGGUCACAGGUAGCCUACUAGAUGCUGCUGUGGGGCCUCAUGGAGUUCUACUGCUGCCAAUGCCCAGAAGCACUCCUCCCGGUCCCUGCCCCUGCUCACCUGCAUGCUCUCCCUCGCCUGCCCCCCACCCCCCAUGAGGGGUUGAGAGCUGCAGGCUGAGUAAAGGAGCCAACCCCUUUGUGAUCCCCGCAAAGGGGUCAAGGGAACUAUCCCGUGUUUCCCUGGCAGUAAUGGGUAUUAAUAAAUUAAAAUAAGUACUUGCUAAAG